GUCACGCUUCCAAGAAAAGCUUCUAGGGUUAAUUUAGUAAGUGCCCGUACCGAUAACCGACACAGGUAGGCGAGGAGAGAAUCCUAAGAUGAGCGAGAGAACUCUUGUUAAGGAACUCGGCAAAAUGAUCCCGUAACUUCGGGAGAAGGGGUGCUUGUGAAAGCAAGCCGCAGUGAAUAGGCCCAGGCGACUGUUUAUCAAAAACACAGGUCUCUGCUAAACCGCAAGGUGAUGUAUAGGGGCUGACGCCUGCCCGGUGCUGGAAGGUUAAGAGGAGAGGUUAGCGCAAGCGAAGCUUUGAAUUGAAGCCCCAGUAAACGGCGGCCGUAACUAUAACGGUCCUAAGGUAGCGAAAUUCCUUGUCGGGUAAGUUCCGACCCGCACGAAAGGCGUAACGAUCUGGGCGCUGUCUCAACAAGAGACUCGGUGAAAUCAUAGUACCUGUGAAGAUGCAGGUUACCCGCGACAGGACGGAAAGACCCCGUGGAACUUUACUGUAGCUUGAUAUUGAGCACUGGUGACACAUGUACAGGAUAGGUAGGAGACGAAGAAGCCAGGACGCCAGUCUUGGUGGAGUCGCUGUUGGGAUACUACCCUUGUGUUACUGGGGUUCUAACCCGUGGCCAUGAUCUGGUCAGGGAACAGUGUCGGGUGGGCAGUUUGACUGGGGCGGUCGCCUCCCAAAGAGUAACGGAGGCGCCCAAAGGUUCCCUCAGAAUGGUUGGAAAUCAUUCGAAGAGUGUAAAGGCAGAAGGGAGCUUGACUGCGAGACCUACAAGUCGAGCAGGGACGAAAGUCGGGCUUAGUGAUCCGGCGGUACCGAAUGGAAGGGCCGUCGCUCAACGGAUAAAAGCUACCCCGGGGAUAACAGGCUGAUCUCCCCCAAGAGUUCACAUCGACGGGGAGGUUUGGCACCUCGAUGUCGGCUCAUCGCAUCCUGGGGCUGUAGUCGGUCCCAAGGGUUGGGCUGUUCGCCCAUUAAAGCGGUACGCGAGCUGGGUUCAGAACGUCGUGAGACAGUUCGGUCCCUAUCCGUCGUGGGCGUAGGAAAUUUGAGAGGAGCUGUCCUUAGUACGAGAGGACCGGGAUGGACACACCGCUGGUGUACCAGUUGUUCUGCCAGGAGCAUAGCUGGGUAGCUACGUGUGGACGGGAUAAACGCUGAAAGCAUCUAAGCGUGAAGCCCCCCUCAAGAUGAGAUUUCCCAUUCGAAAGAAGUAAGAUCCCUUGAAGACGACAAGGUAGAUAGGUCAGAAGUGGAAGUGUGGUGACACAUGGAGCGGACUGAUACUAAUCGAUCGAGGACUUAACCU
rnacentral:rRNA from 1 species